rnacentral:rRNA from 1 species
GACGAACGCUGGCGGCGUGCCUAAUACAUGCAAGUCGAGCGGACGAAUCGAAAGCUUGCUUUUGAUUCGUUAGCGGCGGACGGGUGAGUAACACGUGGGCAACCUGCCCUGUAGACGGGGAUAACACCGAGAAAUCGGUGCUAAUACCGGAUAACACGAAAUGUCGCAUGACGUUUCGUUGAAAGACGGCGCAAGCUGUCGCUACAGGAUGGGCCCGCGGCGCAUUAGCUAGUUGGUGAGGUAACGGCUCACCAAGGCGACGAUGCGUAGCCGACCUGAGAGGGUGAUCGGCCACACCGGGACUGAGACACGGCCCAGACUCCUACGGGAGGCAGCAGUAGGGAAUCUUCCGCAAUGGACGAAAGUCUGACGGAGCAACGCAGCGUGAGCGAAGAAGGCCUUCGGGUCGUAAAGCUCUGUUGUUAGGGAAGAACAAGUAACGCAGUAACUGGCGUUACCGUGACGGUACCUAACGAGAAAGCCACGGCUAACUACGUG